rnacentral:lncRNA from 1 species
GGAGUGUGACAUUUCUGCGAGAAUGCUUAAAUACCGAUUUCCCGCAGGAACAAUGGCGCUGUCUUCAGUGGCACAGUGGAGCAGCUCUGAAGAUGCAAAGAUACACGAAAAAACUUCCAGAACAUCUGGGAGAAUAUUUAAUGGAAAAUCGCUUGGUUAAAACCUGACACUCUUAACAGUGAGGGUCGCUGUCUGCCCAUUGAUAGAGGCCAGAUUGUCUUGGAAGUUCCAAAGUUGCAACGAUUUCUUUAGUUGAAUCCAUGGACAUGAAACCCACAGAUAUAGAGGGUUGGCCCAGUGCAGUGGCUCACGCCUGUAAUCCCAGCACUUUGGGAGGCCAAGGCGGGUGGAUCACCUGAGGUCAGAAGCUUGAGACAAGCCUGGCCAACAUGGGUACUGCUUUCUCUUGCUGCAGCUUGCUUCCUCCCUCAGGUAUGAAGUUAAGCUACUUGGGAGGCUGAGGCAGGAGAAUCGCUUGAACCCGGGAGGCGGAGGUUGCCAUGAGCCGAGAUUGCGCCACUACACUCCAGCCUGGGCAACAAAAGCGAAACUCCAUCUCAAAAAAAAAAAAAAAGCAUAUAAAAUUAUAGCUGGGUAGGAGGAAUAAGUUCUAGUGUUCUACACCACUGUGGGAUGACUAUAGUUAACAAUAAUACAUACUUUCAGGUAACAUGAAGGAGGAUAUUGAAUGUUCCUAACACAAAGAAAUGAUAAAUGUUUGAGAUGGUGGAUGUGCUAAUUGCCCUGAUCUGAUGACUAUACAUUAUAUAUAUUGAAACAUCAGUAUGUACCCCAUGAAUAUGUACAAUUAUAUGUCAACUUAAAAACAUUUAAAAGUAAAAAAAAAAAAAAA